rnacentral:pre_miRNA from 1 species
CAACUACUCCCUCUGUCCCAAAUUUCUUGUCUUAGAUUUGUCUAGAUACGGAUGUAUCUAAUACUAAAAUGUGACUUGAUACAUCUGUAUCUAGAAAAAUCUAAGACAAGAAUUUUGGGACGGAGGGAGUACUUU